CCUCCUUUCACCACCCUAACCCUCUUUCCACAACCAUAAACAUCAACCCACCACCACAUCCACCUUCAACCUACCACCUCCGCCGUCAACCCCACCGUCAACCCACCACCUCCACCGUAACCUUCAACCCACCACCACCACCACCACCUCCACCUCCACCUCCACCAUGUUAGAACUUUUGUUUACUCUCGUAUUCAUCUUGGCUGCACUUUUGUUGUUUGAAGUACUUGAUGUUCAUGCAUAAGCUAAAUAUAUUCCUCAAGAUAAAGGCAAGUUUUAAUUUUCAUUUCAUUUUGAAAUUCAAUUUAAAAGAAAUCAUGAUCAAUAAAGCAAGUAAGCAACUGAUACAAAGAGGCAUAAUUUGACGUGUUCAUUUUGGUUGGAAUUUCUUGUUAUUUUUGCGGUGCUUGCUCUUGGUGAUAUCGCAAAAGAAUUAGGUAAAAGGGACUGGGAUUUUAUCCUGAACCCAUGUGAUAAUAAUUUCCAUUGGGCAACACCAGCAAACCAGACCGAGAGGCCUUUCUAUAAGGACAUUGUUGAGUGUAACUGCUCCUACCCUGGGUUCAUAAAGAGAGAGAAAGAGAUAAAGAUGAGAGAGAAAGAAGGAGAGAUAAGGGGAGGGGGGUGGUUCACUAGUGAUAGAAUUUAUCACUCACAAGCACCAAUCAAGUUUCGUCAUGUCAUCGACCAUUUUUUCAUCACUCACAACCUUUUUUAGUGGGGGUGGUCAUCACUCAUCACCACAUCCAACAAUUUCCCCCCAACCAACAAAUACCCUCCCAAAACAAAUGAUUAACGCGUGAUACAGAUAAUGAAAAUUUGAUUUCGUUGAACAUUAACGCGUGAUACUUGUUGCCGGCGGUGGAUAUAACGCGUGAUGGGUUCUGGCCGUGAUAUUAUAACGGAUGAGCCCGCCUCCUCUAAGGAAAGAAGGAAGAAGAUGAGAAUGGGUCAUCUUUAUAUUUUUUUUAAUUGUCCAGGGGCAAACUAGUCAUUUCGCACACACUGAACUAAGAAAGUUAACAUGGGUUAGUGACAAGGAUCACCCGAGUGCAAAAAUUACAACAAGUGGAACCAACUCUGUAAUCAUUGAAGUCUUGGAACCAAGUCUGCAAUAUCAGCAAACCAUAGGGACCAACUAGGCAUUUAAAUGUAAUGACACGAAGAGAUAUGAAUCAAGUCAAGAUGGACUCAAGCAUGGAAGGCUAAUGGGCCUAGAGGAGGCAAUGCGACAAGCAUGAACAUGGCGACUCGAGGUAAGUGAUUCCCGAACUCAACUUACAUUUAUGUAAAUAAAUUCAUAUGUUUGUAUAAUGAAUGGGAAUCAUGAAUGGAUGGGUAGGUAAUGAUGGUGCAGGGUAUGGAAGGUAGCAAUGAAUCAAAUGUAGUUUAACUACGCUUGAAUUCACAUGGAGGAUUUGAGGUGAGUGCCUUCCUCUAGCUUACAUGUAGCUUGGUUAAUUUGAAUUUUACAUUAGUCAUGGUUGUAGGAAAAAGGAUUUCUAUGUCUACAAAAUGUGUACAAUAAUAAAGAUGCCCAGAUGCUACGCGACCGUGUUGAAUUCUGACACGGCCAUUUCGUUGUUUUGUCUCAAAUUUAUAUAUGAGCAAGGUUGAGAGUUUAAGCACUUGUAAUGGUUAUACUCACUUGUAUCGAUUAUACUAAACCCUUGAGGGUAUAUGACCAAUAUGAUAACUUGGAUUACACCCAAUAAAGUUUAUGGGUCAUGAACUAAGCGGGUCAAAUUGAAUAAACAUGAUAUGCUUGUAGUAGGUGCAAGCUUUAUGUGUGUAUGUUACUAGAAAUAUUGGAUAUGUCAUGAAAAGCUAACAAGUGUAGGUACGAAUGCAUUUUAAUGUCAUUACCAACACACCAUUCUUGU
rnacentral:lncRNA from 1 species